GACGAACGCUGGCGGCGUGCUUAACACAUGCAAGUCGAACGGUAAGGCCCUUCGGGGUACACGAGUGGCGAACGGGUGAGUAACACGUGGGUGAUCUGCCCUGCACUUCGGGAUAAGCCUGGGAAACUGGGUCUAAUACCGGAUAGGACUCCUGGCUUCAUGGUUGGGGGUGGAAAGCUUUUGCGGUGUGGGAUGGGACCGCGGCCUAGCAGCUUGUUGGUGGGGUAAUGGCCUACCAAGGCGACGACGGGUGGCCGGCCUGAGAGGGUGACCGGUCACACUGGGACUGAGAUACGGCCCAGACUCAUACGGGAGGCAGCAGUGGGGAAUAUUGCACAAUGGGCGCAAGCCUGAUGCAGCGACGCCGCGCGAGGGAUGACGGCCUUCGGGUUGUAAACCUCUUUCAGCUAUGACGAAGCGCAAGUGACGGUAGUAGCAGAAGAAGGACCGGCCAACUACGGGCCAGCCGCCGCCGUAAAAC
rnacentral:rRNA from 1 species